GACGAACGCUGGCGGCGUGCCUAAUACAUGCAAGUCGAGCGAAGUUUUUCUGGUGCUUGCACUAGAAAAACUUAGCGGCGAAUGGGUGAGUAACACGUAAAGAACCUGCCUCAUAGACUGGGACAACUAUUGGAAACGAUAGCUAAUACCGGAUAACAGUAUUUCUAGCAUGCGCGAUAUUUAAAAGUUGGUUAUGCUAACACUAUGAGAUGGCUUUGCGGUGCAUUAGGUAGUUGGUGGGGUAAAGGCCCACCAAGGCGACGAUGCAUAGCCGACCUGGGAGGGUGACCGGCCACCCUGGGACUGGGACACGGCCCAGACUCCUACGGGAGGCAGCAGUAGGGAAUCUUCCGCAAUGGGCGAAAGCCUGACGGAGCAACGCCGCGUGAGUGAAGAAGGAUUUCGGUUCGUAAAGCUCUGUUGUUAGGGAAGAAUGGAUAUGUAGUAACUAUACAUGUAAGAGACGGUACCUAACCAGAAAGCCACGGCUAACUACGUG
rnacentral:rRNA from 1 species